ensembl:ncRNA C30A5.14 ncRNA
GGAGGAGUCGCCUGUUUGGUCACUUUUGUGUUUGCGAGGAGUCGCUGCUUCUCGUCAGAUUAGGCGGGUUAACAAGCAGGUCGCCAC